rnacentral:rRNA from 1 species
UUAAAGCAACCGAAGCAGUGAACUUAAGCCCCAAUAAACGGCGACCAUAACUAAAACGGACCAAAGGUAGCGAAAAUCCUCGUCGGGUAAGGUCCGACCCACAAGAAAGGCGUAACGAUUUAGGCACUGACUCAACAACAGACUCGGUGAAAUUGUAAUUACGGAGAAGAAGCCGGAUACAUGCGACAGGACGGAAAGAACCCAUGCAGCAUUAAUGUAGCUAAACAAAAGGCCUUGGGACUACAUGUACAGGAUAGGUGGGAGGCUUUGAAACAAGGACGCCAGUUGUGGCGGAGCCAUCAUAGGGAUAUCACCCUUGUAGUACUGGGACGCUAACCAUAGGUAAUGAAUCUGGUAUUGGGACACUGUCAGUUGGGCAGU